rnacentral:rRNA from 2 species
AGCCUUUCGGGGUGGAUUAGUGGCGAACGGGUGAGUAACACGUGGGCAAUCUGCCCUUCACUCUGGGACAAGCCCUGGAAACGGGGUCUAAUACCGGAUAACACUCUGUCCUGCAUGGGACGGGGUUAAAAGCUCCGGCGGUGAAGGAUGAGCCCGCGGCCUAUCAGCUUGUUGGUGGGGUAAUGGCCUACCAAGGCGACGACGGGUAGCCGGCCUGAGAGGGCGACCGGCCACACUGGGACUGAGACACGGCCCAGACUCCUACGGGAGGCAGCAGUGGGGAAUAUUGCACAAUGGGCGAAAGCCUGAUGCAGCGACGCCGCGUGAGGGAUGACGGCCUUCGGGUUGUAAACCUCUUUCAGCAGGGAAGAAGCGAAAGUGACGGUACCUGCAGAAGAAGCGCCGGCUAACUACGUGCCAGCAGCCGCGGUAAUACGUAGGGCGCAAGCGUUGUCCGGAAUUAUUGGGCGUAAAGAGCUCGUAGGCGGCUUGUCACGUCGGAUGUGAAAGCCCGGGGCUUAACCCCGGGUCUGCAUUCGAUACGGGCUAGCUAGAGUGUGGUAGGGGAGAUCGGAAUUCCUGGUGUAGCGGUGAAAUGCGCAGAUAUCAGGAGGAACACCGGUGGCGAAGGCGGAUCUCUGGGCCAUUACUGACGCUGAG